CGGCGGGGCCGGGCACCGCGGGGACGCCGUGGUGCACAGCCGCCCCUCAGGGCGCCGCGGCCGCAUCGUGCAGCGCCUCAGCUCGGGCCGCCCCCGCCGCUGCUGGGGCUCACCCUGCCUUUCCCUGCUUCAUCGACCCCUCUCGGGCUCAUCCUGCCCUUCCCUGCCUCACCGACCCCUGCUCGGGCUCACCCUGCCUUUCCCUGCUUCAUCGACCCCUGCUCGGGUUCAUCCUGCCUUUCCCUGCUUCAUCGACCCCUGCUCGGGCUCAUCCUGCCUUUCCCUGCUUCAUCGACCCCUGCUCGGGCUCACCCUGCCUUUCCCUGCCUCACCGACCCCUGCUCGGGCUCACCCUGCCUUUCCCUGCCUCAUCGACCCCUGCUCGGGCUCAUCCUGCCUUUCCCUGCCUCACCGAGCCCUGCUCGGGCUCAUCAUGCCUUUCCCUGCUUCAUUGACCCCUGCUCGGGUUCAUCCUGCCCUUCCCUGCUUCAUCGACCCCUGCUCGGGCUCACCCUGCCUUUCCCUGCCUCACCGAGCCCUGCUCGGGUUCAUCCUGCCUUUCCCUGCCUCACCGACCCCUGCUCAGGCUCAUCCUGCCCUUCCCUGCCUCACCGAGCCCUGCUCGGGCUCA
rnacentral:lncRNA from 1 species